rnacentral:rRNA from 1 species
AGAGUUUGAUCCUGGCUCAGGAUGACCUUUAGCUACAGGCUUAACACAUGCAAGUCGAGGGGCAGCAUGCAGGUAGCUUGCUAUCUGUGAUGGCGACCGGCGCACGGGUGAGUAACGCGUAUCCAACCUUCCCCGUAGUAGGGCACAGCCCGGCGAAAGUCGGAUUAAUUCCCUAUGUUCUUGACAGCAGACAUCUAACGUCAAGCAAAGAUUCAUCGCUAUGGGAUGGGGAUGCGUCUGAUUAGGUUGUCGGCGGGGUAACGGCCCACCGAGCCUGCGAUCAGUAGGGGUUCUGAGAGGAAGGUCCCCCACAUUGGAACUGAGACACGGUCCAAACUCCUACGGGAGGCAGCAGUGAGGAAUAUUGGUCAAUGGAGGCAACUCUGAACCAGCCAAGUAGCGUGCAGGACGACGGCCCUAUGGGUUGUAAACUGCUUUUAUAAGGGGAUAAAGAAUGCCACGUGUGGUGUUUUGCAUGUACCUUAUGAAUAAGGACCGGCUAAUUCCGUGCCAGCAGCCGCGGUAAUACGGGGGAUGCGAGCGUUAUCCGGAUUCAUUGGGUUUAAAGGGUGCGUAGGCUGUGCGUCAAGUCGGGGGUGAAAUUCCGGUGCUCAACACCGGGGCUGCCCUUGAUACUGUCGCGCUGGAGUGCGGAUGCCGCCGGAGGAAUGAGUGGUGUAGCGGUGAAAUGCUUAGAUAUCACUCAGAACACCGAUUGCGAAGGCAUCUCACAAAUCCGUGAUUGACGCUGAGGCACGAAAGUGUGGGGAUCAAACAGGAUUAGAUACCCUAGUAGUCCACACUGUAAACGAUGAUAACUCGCUGUCGGCGAUACACAGUCGGUGGCCAAGCGAAAGCGAUAAGUUAUCCACCUGGGGAGUACGACCGCAAGGUUGAAACUCAAAGGAAUUGACGGGGGCCCGCACAAGCGGAGGAACAUGUGGUUUAAUUCGAUGAUACGCGAGGAACCUUACCCGGGCUCGAACGGCAAGUGAACGACACAGAGAUGUGAAGGUCCUUCGGGACACUUGUCGAGGUGCUGCAUGGUUGUCGUCAGCUCGUGCCGUGAGGUGUCGGCUUAAGUGCCAUAACGAGCGCAACCCUUGCCAUUAGUUACCAGCAUGUAAUGAUGGGGACUCUAGUGGGACUGCCACCGUAAGGUGUGAGGAGGGGGGGGAUGACGUCAAAUCAGCACGGCCCUUACGUCCGGGGCGACACACGUGUUACAAUGGUGGGUACAGAGGGCAGCUACCUGGUGACAGGAUGCAAAUCUCGAAAACCCAUCUCAGUUCGGAUCGGAGUCUGCAACUCGACUCCGUGAAGUUGGAUUCGCUAGUAAUCGCGCAUCAGCCAUGGCGCGGUGAAUACGUUCCCGGGCCUUGUACACACCGCCCGUCA